AGAAAGAACUACUCUUGGAGGAGCACGAAUUAGUUGCUGCAAAAGCUGCGUUGUCAAAACAAGCCUUCUUUUUGAUCCAGGCACUGGUGGCCAAUCUUCAAUCAUUUCAGGUUCAUUCUCAACCUGCAAUUAGGACCAUGUUUGUAAGCUGAGAACUUUCAGAGUUUUAAUAAGGAAUAACAAACAUUCAAAUAAAGUUGACACUGAAUGCACCUUCUCAUUCAAUUGAUUUGCUGCAUGAGCCCAUUCCACUUCUGCCACACUGUGAUAGAUAAUUCAAAAAGAUGAAAAAGGUGACAAUAGUAAGAGAAGAAAGUGAUUUUUUGCAUUUUUGCAAAUUAUCAUUUGGAAUAUUUUAGCACUUUGGAUCAUUGAAAUCUAAAAUGUUAAAAGCAAUGCAAGAAAUGGCAUAUUUACUCCACUCACCUGAUGUUUUGAGGCCUUUGAGAACCCUGUGUCACUUCUCUAUGCCACGGUAAAAACUCAAAUGUCAUAAUUUUGCGCUUCAUUCCUCUCACAGUGUCCAAAUUCUGACUUGCAACAUCAGGUGGCUGUGAGUGAGGGGAGAUAUACUCAGUUGCUACUGGCAUAAACUUUGAGCUUUGCUGGGCUUUAUCUAGUGGAUUAGCAUCAGCAGCAGCAUUUAGCUGCUCACUUGAAUGAAC
rnacentral:lncRNA from 1 species